rnacentral:lncRNA from 1 species
CCAACCCCCCCGUUUUCAGCCGCCUGACAGCGCAGCUGCGCAGGCGCGAAGACGCCCCAGCCUAAUAAUCCUGAUCUGUUACCCAGGCUGGAGUGCAGUGAAUGAUCUCGGCUUAUUGCAACUUCCGCCUCCCAGGAUCAAGAGUUUCUGGUAUCUCAGCUUUCCGAGUAGCUGGGAUUAUAGACGUGCACCACCAUGCCUAGCUAAUUUUUGUAUUUUUAGUAGAGGCAGAGUUUCACCAUGUUGGCCAGGCUGGUCUCAAACUCCUGGCCUCAGGUGAUCUGCCCACCUCGGCCUCCCAAAGUGCUGGGAUUACAGGCGUGAGCCACCACACCUGGCCCUCAUUCUCUUAGCAGUGUAUUUUGAAGAGAAGUUUUAACUUUUAAUAAAGUUUAAUUUAUUUAUUAUUUUAUGGAUUACAUUUCUAGUGUUGUUUCUAAGAAAUUUUUGCCUACCCCAAGCUCACAAAGAAAUUUUCCUAUGUUUUCUUAUAAAAGUUUUAUGUGUUCAAGCUGUACAUUUAGAUGUAUGAUGCAUUGUAGUUAACUUUCUUAUAUAGUUUGAGGCAUGUAUCCAAGUUCAUAUUUGAUGUAUGGAUACCCAGUCAUCGCAGCAAUUUUUUUUUUGAAAAGCCUGUACUUUUUCCACUGGGUUGCUUUUGUGCUUUUGUCAAAAAUUAGUUGCGCAGCUUGGGCGCAGUAGCUCACGCCUGUAAUCCCAGCAGUUUGGGAGGCCGAGGCGGGCGGAUCACAAGAUCAGGAGAUCGAGACCAUCCUGGCUAACAUGGUGAAACCCCG